rnacentral:rRNA from 1 species
UACAGAGGGGGCUAGCGUUAUUCGGAAUUAUUGGGCGUAAAGAGCUCGUAGGCGGCCGGUUGCGUCUGCUGUGAAAUCCCGGGGCUUAACCCCGGGCGUGCAGUGGAUACGGGCUGGCUGGAGGCAGGCAGGGGAGAAUGGAAUUCCCGGUGUAGCGGUGAAAUGCGUAGAUAUCGUAAGGAAGACCAGUGGCGAAGGCGGGUCUCUGGACAGUUCCUGACGCUGAGGCACGAAGGCCAGGGGAGCAAACGGG